GAGAUCUCGCAGGCGGCCGGCUGUG
rnacentral:miRNA from 1 species